AUACGUAGGUGACAAGCGUUAUCCGGAUUUACUGGGCGUAAAGGGCGUGUAGGCGGUCUUGCAAGUCAGAAGUGAAAUUCCUGAGCUCAACUCGGGCGCUGCUUCUGAAACUGCAGGACUUGAGUGCUGGAGGGGAUAGCGGAAUUCCUAGUGGAGCGGUAAAAUGCGCAGAUAUUAGGAAGAACACCGGUGGCGAAGGCGGCUAUCUGGACAGUAACUGACGCUGAGGAGCGAAAGCGUGGGGAGCAAACAGGAUUAGAUACCCUGGUAGUCCACACUGUAAACGAUGAAUGCUAGGUGUAAGAGGUAUCGACCCCUUUUGUGCCGGAGUCAACACAAUAAGCAUUCCGCCUGGGGAGUACGGCCGCAAGGUUGAAACUCAAAUGAAUUGACGGGG
rnacentral:rRNA from 1 species